rnacentral:rRNA from 1 species
AGCGAACGCUGGCGGAAUGCUUAACACAUGCAAGUCGCACGGGGCUUCGGCCUUAGUGGCGGACGGGUGAGUAACGCGUAGGAAUGUGUCCGAGGGUGGGGGAUAACGUUGGGAAACUGACGCUAAUACCGCAUAUCCCCUGAGGGGGAAAGCAGAGAUGCGCCCACGGAGCAGCCUGCGUCCGAUUAGCUAGUUGGUUAGGUAAAGGCUGACCAAGGCGACGAUCGGUAGCUGGUCUGAGAGGAUGAUCAGCCACACUGGAACUGAGACACGGUCCAGACUCCUACGGGAGGCAGCAGUGGGGAAUUUUGGACAAUGGACGCAAGUCUGAUCCAGCCAUUCCGCGUGCAGGACGAAGGCCUUCGGGUUGUAACUGCUUUGUACAGACGAAAAGGUCUCUAUUAAUACUAGGGCUCAUGACGGUACUGU